rnacentral:lncRNA from 1 species
CCGCCAUGGCCGCCAUCAAUGCACGCAAGAUGAAAUUUGCUCUGCUAAAAGGCUCCUUCAGUGAGCAAGGCAUCAACGAGUUUCUCAGGGAGCUCUCUUUUGGGCGUGGCUCCACGGCACCUGUAGGAGGCGGGGCUUUCCCUACCAUCGUUGAGAGAGAGCCUUGGGACGGCAGGGAUGGCGAGGUGACUUCCCGUGGAGGAUGACAUUGACCUCAGUGAUGUGGAGCUUGAUGACUUAGGGAAAGAUGAGUUGUGAGAGCCACAACAGAGGCUUCAGACCAUUUUCUUUUCUUGGGAGCCAGUGGAUUUUUCCAGCAGUGAAGGGACAUUCUCUACACUCAGAUGACUCUACCAGUGGCCUUUUAACCAAGAAGUAGUACUUGAUUGGUCAUUUGAAAACACUGCAACAGUGAACUUUUGCAUCUCAAGAAAACAUUGAAAAAUUCUAUGAAUUGUUGUAGCCGGUGAAUUGAGUCGUAUUCUGUCACAUAAUAUUUUGAAGAAAACUUGGCUGUCGAAACAUUUUUCUCUCUGACUGCUGCUUGAAUGUUCUUGGAGGCUGUUUCUUAUGUAUGGGUUUUUUUUAAUGUGAUCCCUUCAUUUGAAUAUUAAUGGCUUUUUCCAUUAAAGAAUAAAAUAUUUUGGACAAUGC